GAAGCUCAUGUCUGUGUAGUCUCUCAGCCAAGCAUGGAAGGAUCUCUCAGCUUCAUCCAGAGUCUUACACCCUCCUCUUUUUCCAAGCUGUGGAGAAAAAUUUCUGACCUGAGAUCACCUCAGCAGCACUCCCAGGACCCAUCCAGCCAUUUCCCCCAUCCCCAAAAUUUGCAGGAGGAAGGGUUAUUUCAAUAAAGCAAAAACCUGUUGCCUGAAGCAUAUAAAAAGAUUCUUCUCUUUCUCCUACCUCUACUUACAAAGUGACCCCUCCCUUCUACUCAGAAUGUCCCUACUGCCUAUUCAAGACAGGAUCUCGCUGCGUUGCUCAGACUGGUCUCGAACUCCUGGGCUUAAGGGAUUCUCCUGCCUCAAUCACAGCCUCCCAAGUAGCUGAGAUUAAAAGUGCUCACCACCGUGCCAGCGAGUUCAGUUUUUGAGGGUGGAGCCAAGACUCUGAGGAGAGGGCUGAACUGUGAACCUAGAAGUACCAUCUCCCCCUGCACACACCUUUGGUCAAGUUGACCCCAAGAAGAAGGACAAGUCCUCUGCACGGCGAUGAGGCCAUACACACAGUCUGUGGCCCGGCUUUGGGAGACUGAUGGGACAAAGGAUGUUUUGCACGAUCCUUGGUCUCUGAGCAAAUAUAUACAUGGGUUAACACAAA
rnacentral:lncRNA from 1 species